CAGAGAAGUCGGCUGGCAAUCAUUAACUAAUGCUUUCUCCCAGGGAGAAAAAUGCAGGUUUUAAAGAGGCCGGGACUGCAGGAUUGCAAUAGAAGGUGCCAGGAUUACAGGCAUGCACCACUACCCCUGGCCAACGUUUCAUUUUAGCUGCAAAUCGCCAGAUUAACGGGAGGAUGAACGAUAUGAAGAAAGAUUUUGGUGAAAGGGAACAUACUAUGGAAAGUGAGACAGUGUUCAUUGAACUGAUCUAUAUGCUGUAUUCCCUUGGUAAGUUGAAGCAUACCAAAAAAUGAUCUAGGAAGCAAAGCCUGGCAUGAUGGGUGUAACCCUAGUGCUUGGGAGUUGGAGGCAAGAGGAUCAGGGGUCAGCCAGGCAAGGUGUCGAACAGCUUUAAUCAAGCACUCAGGAGGCAGAGGCAGGAAGACCCCUGUAACCUCAAGGCCAGUUUGGUCUAUGUAGGUAGUUACAAGCCAGCCAGGGCCACACAGUGAGAUCCUGUCUUAAAAACCAAAGCAAAACAAACAAACACCGUAAAAAAACAGAACAGAAAACCACAAACAAACAACAACAAAAAGAGGAUAAGGAAUUCAGUGUCAGCCUUAGCCAGUUUGAGGCUGGCCUGGGAUGCCUGAAACCAGGUGUCAACAAAACAAAUCAUCAUAGCAACCCAUCUGGAUUAGUUAUGAUAAAGAUAGAACUUGUGUGACAGAGAUAGAAGCACUCAGGGGCUGGAAGCAAAAGUAUGUCAUUCUGAGGGGGUGUUGUGUACCCAGGCAGGUAUGACUGAGUUGAAGCCAUGUGCAGUGAGUGGGUGCCUUCCACGCUGGUCUCACCAUCCCCCAGUGUGUAACCAGUUUUGACAUGGGCAGAAUGAUCUGCUGUUUCCUUUGGCUUCUGACCUGCACUCACGGAUGAGUCCACAAUAAGAAUAGCCGCUGCUUUUCUUGUUAUUGUCUUCACAGAAGGAUUUGUGUGCUGUGAGAGAGUGCUCAGGUCCAGGACUGUGGAUAUCUGUCCACAUGUGUUUGGCACAUGACUUCAGUGUCUUCUGCUUGGUCAGCCACUGCAUCAGAUGCCUUUCCAUGGCCAUAGUAAGAGCACAAAGCACCUCAACAUCAGCGGGUUCUGUCCACAGUUUCUUGACCCUGGGUGCUUGGGUAGAGCAUCAUUGCUGAGGAGAGCUGCUCGACACAUGGACAGCUAGGAAGCGGGAGAUAAGAGGCAUCCAUCUUAAGCAAUUAAGAAUCCCUCCAGGUUGGGGAUGUAUUGUUCCCCUUUAAUCCCAGCACCCAGGAGGCACAGGCAGGCGGAUCUCUGAGUUUGAGGCCAGUCUGGUCUACAAAGUGAGUUCCAGGACAGGCUCCAGCGGCUGGAGAGAGGGCUCAGUGGUGCAGAAUACUUGCUAUUCACAGAUUCCUGUUUGAUUUCCAGCACACACAUGGUGGCUCACAGCCACCCAUAAUUCCAAUUCCAGAGGAGCUGAUGCCCUCUUCUGACUUCUAUGGUACCAGGUACAUGGUGCACAGACGUCUAUUCAGGCAAAACAUUUAAACACAUAAAUAAAUUGUUUUUAAAAAAUCCCACCAAUAAAGACUUGAUAGCAGCAGAUGGUCAUAUGAACCCAAGGGAGGCUGGGCCUCUGCCUGUGCCUCUGAGUGGCCGUGCAGUGCAUGGUCUGAACUUGGUAUUUAAUAGCUUUAUGGCAAAUCUGCCCUGGGCACUCAAGUGUAUCCCAGAGUUGUUCUCAAGGGCUGGGGCUGUUGCUUGUCUAGUCUCUGCAAAGCACUAUAUUCAAUCUUGAGACACCCCCUUCACAAAACCUGGGGUCCAAACCAUUUAAAUGUGCUUAUGGUAAGCUUACCUGGACAUCUCAUAUGGGACAAUUGUGUUGUAAUUUAAAAAAUGCCACAAAGAGAAGUCACGCCAUACAACAGGACUCACAUGGGAGGUUUAUUGGGAGAGGAGAGAGAAGGGUCAGAAAAGGGAACAGAGAGGGGGCAGAGGCCAGUUCCCAGCCAGGGACAAGAGUGGUAGAAGAGAAAAAGAGAGGCAAGUCCCACCUUUUAAAAGAGAAUAUGAUGAAUGUUCACAGGUGGACCACCCCCACCUCAUUACCUUUAAUCAGGGAGUGGGGCCCAGAUCGAAAGCCCCACUCCCCUCCCAAAGGCAAAGGUCUCUCUGGGUUUUAUCUGCUUGUGCCCUGCCCUUAUCGUCAGCACUCUCCACUCUCCCACGCCUCCCUAUGGCCGGCUUCUUCAAUACGGCCACGGCCUUCGCCCUUGUGUCUCACCCAGCAGAAAGCCUCUUUUUGCUAAAUCACUCAUUCAGCUUGCAGGGCAGCGUUUUAGAUUUUAGAAAGACUGAUGGGGAAGGAGCCCGUGAGCCCAGACACUCCGUAAAUGCACUAAUUAGCUGAGUGAAAGGAGCCCCAGAACAGGCAGCAACAACUCCAUUCCCACAGGAGCAAGCUCUCCUGACUGCUCGAGUCCCUACUCUCUUACGUUCCAGAUCAAGACAAGGUGUGUGGGCGCUGGUUCCUCAGCUCCAGGCUCUUUAGCCCCAACAUUACUGAUUGUGGGUAGGCAUAAGGAGCUGUCUGAACCCUGUAGGCUAUUUAGCAGCCUCCUCAGCUACUGCCUAGUCAUUUACUUUCCUCCCCGAAGCUGUGAUGAGCAAAAAUGUCUUCAGGGCAGGGAAUGUGGCUCAGGGUGGAAUGUUUCCCUAACACCUGAUGGUUGAGGUUUGAAUCCCAGUCUGACUUCUAGUAAGCUGUUCGACCUUGGACAAGUUACUUUGCCUAUCUGUUCCUCAGUUUCCUUACUUGUAAUGUAGAAUCACACCAUCGAUACAACUCUUGUGUUGUAGAAGUGCUGGGAAUGAAGCCACGAGAAAUAUACUACAUAGUAAGUGAGGGCAGUACAACUCAUUUUCAAAACCUUUAGACAAGUCAUGUUUUUAUGAGAUAGAAAGAGUUCUGGCUGCCGGGCGGUGGUGGCGCACGCCUUUAAUCCCAGCACUCGGGAGGCAGAGGCAGGUGG
ensembl:lncRNA